GCGCGUAAAUUGCCCGAAUCCUGACACAGGGAGGUAGUGACCAGAAAUAACAAUACAGGGCCUUUUAGGUCUUGUAAUUGGAAUGAGUACAAUUUACAUCUCUUCACGAGGAUCAAUUGGAGGGCAGGUCUGGUGCCAGCAGCCGCGGUAAUUCCAGCUCCAAUAGCUUAUAUUAAAGUUGUUGCAGUUAAAACGCUCGUAGUCGAAUUUUGGGGCGGGCCGGCCGGUCUGCCGAUGGGUAUGCACUGGUUGGCGCGUCCUUCCUCCCGGAGACAGCGCCUACUCUUAACUGAGCGGGCGCGGAAGACGGGACGUUUACUUUGAAAAAAUCAGAGUGUUUCAAGCAGGCAGUCGCUCUUGCAUGGAUUAGCAUGGGAUAAUGAAAUAGGACUCUGGUGCUAUUUUGUUGGUUUCGAACACCGGAGUAAUGAUUAACAGGGACAGUCAGGGGCACUCGUAUUCC
rnacentral:rRNA from 1 species